rnacentral:rRNA from 1 species
UGAGAGGGCGACCGGCCACAUUGGGACUGAGACACGGCCCAACUCUUACGGGAGGCAGCAGUGGGGAAUAUUGCACAAAGGGGGAACCCCCUGAGCAGCGACGCCGCGUGAAGGAAGAAGUUUUCGGUAUGAAAACUCUUCAGCAGGGAAGAAAGACGUACCGUGAGUAAGAAGCCCCGGCUAACUACGUGCCAGCAGCCGCGG